rnacentral:tRNA from 1 species
UUAGUUUAGUUGGUUAAAGCGCAUGUCUAGUGAAUACGGAGUCGUGGGUUCAAAUCCCACA